rfam:Nematostella vectensis strain CH2 x CH6 NEMVEscaffold_1312_Cont35614, whole genome shotgun sequence.
GUCUACGGCAUACCACUUAGAAAGCACACUGAGAAAGCACCGGUUCUCGGCCGAUCACCGAAGUUAAGCUCAGUAGGGCGCGGUUAGUACUUGGAUGGGUGACCGCCUGGGAAUACCGUGUGCUGUAGGCA